GACGAACGCUGGCGGCGUGCUUAACACAUGCAAGUCGAACGAAGAGCGAUGGAAGCUUGCUUCUAUCAAUCUUAGUGGCGAACGGGUGAGUAACGCGUAAUCAACCUGCCCUUCAGAGGGGGACAACAGUUGGAAACGACUGCUAAUACCGCAUACGAUCUAAUCUCGGCAUCGAGGAUAGAUGAAAGGUGGCCUCUACAUGUAAGCUAUCACUGAAGGAGGGGAUUGCGUCUGAUUAGCUAGUUGGAGGGGUAACGGCCCACCAAGGCGAUGAUCAGUAGCCGGUCUGAGAGGAUGAACGGCCACAUUGGGACUGAGACACGGCCCAGACUCCUACGGGAGGCAGCAGUGGGGAAUCUUCCGCAAUGGACGAAAGUCUGACGGAGCAGCGCCGCGUGAGUGAUGACGGCCUUCGGGUUGUAAAGCUCUGUUAAUCGGGACGAAAGGCCUUCUUGCGAAUAGUGAGAAGGAUUGACGGUACCGGAAUAGAAAGCCACGGCUAACUACGUG
rnacentral:rRNA from 1 species